CAAGUCAAAGUCCUGCCCUUGAAUGGAGUUCCUGGGUUUCUGAGGAAAUUAUCACUCAGUAUUCUACCAGCAGUGUCUCUGUUAACCUCAAAAAUCAGUGGUAGUUUUGUUGUGACUAAGGUGUGGAGUGGAAGAGAAAGAGAAAGGAAGAGUGAAUUAAACCUAUUAAUAUCCUGUGGAUUUACUAUUCUGCAAACACACUUCAGGAGAUUCUGAUCAGGAGGUUCCGCCACGGGCUGACAAAUCAUUAGGACAGUGUCCCUUAGUGAACAAGAACUUGUACAUGAAGAAAUGGAGAUGAUGCACAUCAUUGGUGUGUUAAUAGGCCAUUGUGGUUUCCUGUCAUUGUGUUUCU